AAAGUCGUAACAAGGUUGCCGUAGGUGAACCUGCGGCAGGAUCAUUACAGUAGGGCUUCGGCUCUUAAGAUACCACCCUUUGCUUUUAGUACUCUUGUUUCCUCGGCGGCGGGAUAACCCGCCGCCAAUAUGAGGACGUAUACACCCUUGUUAAGCAGUCUUGUCUGAUAUAAAUAUAAUAAUCAAAACUUUCAACAACGGAUCUCUUGGUUCUG
rnacentral:misc_RNA from 1 species